UACGUAGGGUGCGAGCGUUGUCCGGAAUUAUUGGGCGUAAAGAGCGUGUAGGCGGCCUGGAAGGUCAGCUGUGAAAACUCGAGGCUCAACCUCGAGACGUCGGUUGAAACCACUUGGCUAGAGUCCGGAAGAGGAGUGUGGAAUUCCCGGUGUAGCGGUGAAAUGCGCAGAUAUCGGGAAGAACACCCGUGGCGAAGGCGGCACUCUGGGACGGUACUGACGCUGAGACGCGAAAGCGUGGGGAGCGAACAGG
rnacentral:rRNA from 1 species